ACCCCACUGCUAUCGGGGUGGGACUAAAACAUGCAAGUCGAGCGCCUCCAAGCUAUGGUGAAGGCGCGGCAAACGGCUCAGUAACACGUGGCCAACCUACCCUUGGGACGGAGACAACCCCGGGAAACUGGGGCUAAUCCCCGAUAAGUAAGGAAUCUUGGAAUGGAUCUUUGUUGAAAGGGCGUCUAGACCAUGCUUCUUGACGUCGCCCAAGGAUGGAGCCGCGACCGAUCAGGUAGUUGGCGAGGCAACGGCUCACCAAGCCUAUAACCGGUACGGGCCGUGAGAGCGGGAGCCCGGAGAUGGGCACUGAGACAAGGGCCCAGGCCCUACGGGGCGCAGCAGUUGCGAAAACUCCGCAAUGCGCGAAAGCGUGACGGGGCUACCCCGAGUGCCGCCCGUUGAGGGCGGCUUUUCCAUGGUGUAAGGAGCCGUGGGAAUAAGGAGAGGGCAAGACUGGUGUCAGCCGCCGCGGUAAUACCAGCUCUCCAGUGGUGGGGACGAUUAUUGGGCUUAAAGCGUUCGUAGCCGGCUUAACAAGUCUUCCGUUAAAUCCAACGAUCUAAUCGUUGGGCUGCGGGAGAUACUGUUGGGCUAGGAGGCGGGAGAAGCCGACGGUAUUCUCGGGGAGGGGUGAAAUCCUGUAAUCCCGGGAGGACCACCAGUGGCGAAGGCGGUCGGCUAGAACGCGCUCGACGGUGAGGGACGAAAGCUGGGGGAGCGAACCGGAUUAGAAACCCGGGUAGUCCCAGCUGUAAACGAUGCGGGCUAGGUGUUGGGGUGGCCACGAGCCACUUCAGUGCCGCAUGGAAGCAAUUAAGCCCGCCGCCUGGGGAGUACGGCCGCAAGGCUGAAACUUAAAGGAAUUGGCGGGGGAGCACCACAAGGCGUGAAGCUUGCGGUUUAAUUGGAGUCAACGCCGGGAAACUUACCGGGGGCGACAGCAGUAUGAAAGCCAGAUUGAAGGUCUUGCUGGACGAGCUGAGAGGAGGUGCAUGGCCGUCGCCAGUUCGUGCCGUGAGGUGUCCUGUUAAGUCAGGCAACGAUCGAGACCCGCCUCCCUUGUUGCUACUGGUAAGUCCGCUUAUCAGGCACAUUAAAGAAACCGCUGGCGAUAAGUCAGAGGAAGGC
rnacentral:rRNA from 1 species